CCACUCGGUCCUCCUUUUGUUAGCGCUCUGGCUUCCAUCAGGUCUACGCCUGCUCCCGUGCAAUCCGGCGCCAUCGCGCUUUGGGCGAGCAUGGCAAUGGGGAGUUGAGAGGUGGGAACCGAGCUGACGCCUGCCUGGCCCUGGCGAUGGUGGUGUGCGCCGGGAAAGGACUGAUUGGAGAAUGGUGCCUAAAGGGAUGCCGAGGGGACGCAGGAGCUCUCGGUGUGACCUGGCGCUGUGGAUGUAAUACACAUCAGCUUGAGUGGGGCUGCUCCGCUGUCCUCAUGAGAGAACCCUUUUUCUGAAGAUGGGAGGUGGCUAAUGAAAGAAGGUGAGGUGUCUCGUGCCCUUGCUGUCCUCCUGUGCUGUGGGAGCUGCACGGGUACGGAAACUUAGGGCCGGCAGAUCUUUGUUUGAGUUUGGGAAUAGGGCAUC
rnacentral:lncRNA from 1 species